UUUAAUAUGGCAGAUUAGUGCUAUGAACUUAAGAUUCAUCUAUAAAACCCUAAAGUUUUUAUUAAAA
rnacentral:tRNA from 1 species